UACGUAGGGUGCAAGCGUUUGUCCGGAAUUAUUGGGCGUAAAGAGCUCGUAGGCGGUCUGUCGCGUCGGCUGUGAAAACCCGGAGCUCAACUCCGGGCCUGCAGUCGAUACGGGCAGACUGGAGUUCGGCAGGGGAGACUGGAAUUCCUGGUGUAGCGGUGAAAUGCGUAGAUAUCGGGAGGAACACCUGUGGCGAAAGCGGCUCUCUGGACCACAACUGACGCUGAGGCGCGGAAAGCUAGGGGAGCAAACAGG
rnacentral:rRNA from 1 species